CUGCACAGUAGCAAGACAAAAAUAAACUCACAGGAAAAUAUCUAGCUAGAGAGAACCUGCAGUUAAAUCCUAUUGCUUCUAGGAUAGAGUUUGGAUGGAAUCUUUUCAGGUCACUUUUUAUUGACAAAAUUGUUAUUGAAGAAGAUGAAUGGAACAGGAGAAACAACAGCGAUUCAAGGGAGAAUAGUGAAUGUUUUCAUCGAGCAAGUCUGGAUUUCUAGUCAUCAUGGUCACCUUCAUUUCGUUUUGAAGUCUUAAGAUUUGUAACUUUAUUUCAAAGCGUUUCUCGAAAGAAUUUAUCGUCUAUAAACUAAAAUCAAUUGAAGAUGCCAUUAAAAUAAAGAGAAAAAAAAAGCUUUUGAGUAACAUAAUUAAGAGCUUUAAUUAAUGCAGUCACGAUAACCUACAAAAACUUUAGGGCAUUAAGCCAUACAAAUAUUAGUGCAUGGAGCAAGCUACUAAAGUUUAGUACUGUGAUUGAUUAUCAGCUAAAUAUAAUUCUAUAAUUAAUUAGGCAGCAGGAGCAUAAUCGUAGUCUGCGUCAUCGUCAUCGUCACCCUCCAUGGGCGCUGCAGGAGCAUAGUCAUAAUCACCAUCAUCAUCAUCUCCGUCACCUUCCAUGCAUGCUGCUGGUGCAUAAUCAUAUCCAUACUCACCAUCAUCGUCUCCAUCUGCAUGACGGUGAAUGCUACAAAAGGCAAUAAUGGUCUUCGACAAGGGACUCAUUUUUCAAUGUACUGAAUUUGGAGAGAAGGGAUUCGAACUACGAAGAAAGAAAUGUUGGUUUUGCUG
rnacentral:lncRNA from 1 species